AGAGUUUGAUCCUGGCUCAGGAUGAACGCUAGCGGGAGGCCUAACACAUGCAAGCCGAGCGGUAUAGUUCCUUCGGGAACUAGAGAGCGGCGUACGGGUGCGUAACACGUGUGCAACCUACCUUUAUCUGGGGGAUAGCCUUUCGAAAGGAAGAUUAAUACCCCAUAAUAUAAUGAUUGGCAUCAAUUAUUAUUGAAAACUCCGGUGGAUAGAGAUGGGCACGCGCAAGAUUAGAUAGUUGGUGAGGUAACGGCUCACCAAGUCAAUGAUCUUUAGGGGGCCUGAGAGGGUGAUCCCCCACACUGGUACUGAGACACGGACCAGACUCCUACGGGAGGCAGCAGUGAGGAAUAUUGGACAAUGGGUGAAAGCCUGAUCCAGCCAUCCCGCGUGAAGGAAGACGGCCCUACGGGUUGUAAACUUCUUUUGUAUAGGAAUAAACCUAGAUACGUGUAUCUAGCUGAAGGUACUAUACGAAUAAGCACCGGCUAACUCCGUGCCAGCAGCCGCGGUAAUACGGAGGGUGCAAGCGUUAUCCGGAUUUAUUGGGUUUAAAGGGUCCGUAGGCGGACCUGUAAGUCAGUGGUGAAAUCUCAUAGCUUAACUAUGAAACUGCCAUUGAUACUGCAGGUCUUGAGUGAAUUUGAGGUAGCUGGAAUAAGUAGUGUAGCGGUGAAAUGCAUAGAUAUUACUUAGAACACCAAUUGCGAAGGCAGGUUACCAAGAUUCAACUGACGCUGAGGGACGAAAGCGUGGGGAGCGAACAGGAUUAGAUACCCUGGUAGUCC
rnacentral:rRNA from 1 species